rnacentral:rRNA from 1 species
UGGGGAAUAUUGGACAAUGGAGGAAACUCUGAUCCAGCAAUUCUGUGUGUGUGAAGAAGGUUUUAGGACUGUAAAACACUUUUAGUAGGGAAGAAAAAAAUGACGGUACCUACAGAAGAAGCAACGGCUAAAUACGUGCCAGCAGCCGCGGUAAUACGUAUGUUGCGAGCGUUAUCCGGAAUUAUUGGGCUUAAAGGGCAUCGAGGCGGUAAGACAAGUUGAAGGUGAAAACCUGUGGCUCAACCAUAGGCUUGCCUACAAAACUGUUGAACUAGAGUACUGGAAAGGUGGGUGGAACUACACGAGUAGAGGUGAAAUUCGUAGAUAUGUGUAGGAAUGCCGAUGAUGAAGAUAACUCACUGGACAGAAACUGACGCUGAAGUGCGAAAGCUAGGGGAGCAAACAGG